rnacentral:rRNA from 1 species
UACGUAGGGCGCAAGCGUUAUCCGGAUUUAUUGGGCGUAAAGAGCGUGUAGGCGGCCUGGUAGGUCUGCUGUGAAAACUCGAGGCUCAACCUCGAGAUGUCGGCGGAAACCAUCUGGCUAGAGUCCGGAAGAGGAGAGUGGAAUUCCUGGUGUAGCGGUGAAAUGCGCAGAUAUCAGGAAGAACACCUAUGGCGAAGGCAGCUCUCUGGGACGGUACUGACGCUGAGACGCGAAAGCGUGGGGAGCGAACAGG